AAUAUAGUGCCUGAAUAAAGGGUUAAUUUGAUAGAUUAAAUUAUGGAAA
rnacentral:tRNA from 1 species